GAAGGUGCUCCCUUUAACGUGGUCUGCCUUUUAUCUACUGAUAAGAACCAUGCUGUGGAAAUACAGCACAGCCAGGCAGACAGCUGGAGCUCAGCCGUCACUGAAGGAGAGCAGCACUGCUUACUGUAUAAGUUCUCUCAUAGAGAUUCCUCCUUCUUUUAACAUGGGGGUCACCAGCUCAGCUAGGUACAACCAUAUGUGGGGUAUAUCUAUGGCCAUAUCGUCUGCCAUCUCCAAGGUAUCUGAAAACCCCUUGAAGAAAUCCUGCUUGCUCAGCUUUCUGGACUGCACCAACUGAUGUAAUAACUGGCCCAUGUGAUCCCUGGUGAUCUGACUCCUCUCCAGCGUCGACUCCAC
rnacentral:lncRNA from 1 species